rnacentral:rRNA from 1 species
UACGGAGGAGGCAAGCGUUAUUCGGAAUUACUGGGCUUAAAGAGUUCGUAGGCGGCAUGAAAAGUAGGGUGUGAAAGCCCUCGGCUUAACCGAGGAAUUGCGCUCUAAACUGUCGUGCUAGAGGAACCUAGAGGUGAGCAGAACAGAUGGUGGAGCGGUGAAAUGCGUUGAUAUCAUCUGGAAUACCGGAGGCGAAGGCGGCUCACUGGGGGUUUUCUGACGCUGAGGAACGAAAGCCAGGGGAGCGAAUGGG